UACUCUGCUACAGAAGGGAUCUUGCGAGACUGACAGCACGACGAGAAAUAAGGGGGAUUACUCAUAACUCCUGGGGGGAGUGUUUGUUUGUUUGUUUGUUUGUUUGUUUGUUUGUUUGUUUGUUUGUUUGUUUGUUUGUUUGUUUGUUUCAGGGAUCACGUGGGCCUCUGGAUCAUAAGGAGUAGAUGCCGGGAACGCUCGGAGGUUCUACUGAGCACUUCGAUGAGACGACGACCACCAAUCGUCCCCGUGCCCCAAUCAACUCCAAAAGAGAAGAUUUUGUUUGCUGACGACUGGUUAUGGAGAUGUCGUUUACUACGGAACCCGUGGACGCUGACCGGGGCCUGGAAAGAGACUCUGAGGACGGUGAAGUGGACAUAAAGAUUUUGGAUGGACGGCAGGCCCUGGGCAGUGAUCCCGGCGCAAAUUCACUACUGAGCAUUCAGUGGACUGGACUUUGCAUCGACAGGCUCUUACAUAUGCAAGGGGGGCAACACUGAGAGCGCUUCAACGUUGCAGUAUGCUGUGAUAUUGCGUCAAUAUUAUAUCCUUCAUUACUUUAUCUGAUGACUACAUGCUGCUUUACUU